AGGUCAUAAAGGAAGAGGGCAACGUUAUCAUCUGACUGCUUGUAGCUGUGGAAGGGCGGCGUAGAAGAGGAAAGGCUGGGGGUUUCGGAUGGUUGUUUUUGAAGCCAUCAGUAUUCUUGAAGAAGCAGCAUAUCUUGAACUGUCCUAUGGGUGAAGGCUUUGAUGUGGUCCUGUAAAAACUGGGAAGAUUUGGAGGAUCAUCUGAAUACCCAUCCAACAGAGAUCCAUGAUUCAUGUAUUUCUCAAGACAGCCAUACACUAAAAUUAUAAGAUCAUAAGAAUAUUAAUUAUAUUCUACCAAUGCAAUACAAGCAUUGAAAUGGAUGGCAUCUGAUCCUGCUUCAUGUGAUUCUUCAUUUAGCUCUGGACUCUUUACAUCAUUAAGGCUUUUUCUUUGCAGGAAUUUAAAAGCAACCCUAUGAAUAUAACAUUUGUCAAAAAGAGCAAGUGCCAAGCCAGUUGAGAAUAACCUUACAAUGUGUACAAGGAUUCCAGUUCUGCUGCUAUAUAAACCAGCCUCAAAUAGUCUGAGUCUGUGAUAUCACUGGGUCACCCCCAUCACUUCAGUAGAAGGCCUGCCACUGCCUGACAUGUGAAAGAGAGCAUCCAGGAUAAGCCACCUGUCAAACUGUCAACUUUAUGCAGAUAUACAAGUGACAGGUUUGAGAUCAGCCCAGCCCAGUCAACAGAGAAAUAUCCCAGUAGAAUCAUUAUAUAAUUAAAUAACAUUAAAAAAAAAAAAAAAAGAAAAACUAAGUUUGGGAUGAUUCGUUGUGCACCAAAGACUUGAAUGUGACCAAGUGCUAAAAAUUGUCCAUUAUUUACCCAACAUACUUUGUCUUGACCGAACUUUAGUCAGGCUUUUCUCCUCCCUAAAUGCCCCUAGACAUUGGCUUGCCUACAAGCUCAAGUAAGCACUAAAGCACCAAGUUACAGAACAUUCCUCUCAACAGCUCAUUCUGAAAAUUGGCAGACCACAGAAACAUUUUAUGUUAAACCAUCCUGACCACGUCGUUGGCUCAUGUCUACCAUCUGCCCUAUUAUUCACAAAGUUCUUGCUAGCACUAACCUCCCUAUUUUUUUUGCUUUUUUGUUUACUUUUGAGACACUUGCAGAUCUUGAGGUUAGAGCGUUUCCCCAUUGCGAGAGUGUUUUUGAAUAAACUCUCUCCUUAUU
rnacentral:lncRNA from 1 species